GGACCGCGGGCGUGCUGGGAGGAAGAGCGCGGGCUGGAGGGGCCCCGAGAGCUCAGGCCACGGCUUCUCUGUCACGUGACCUGCAGUGACUCACGUCCCCUCUCUCAGCCUCAGUUUCCCUUUCUAUAAAACAGAGGCCAGAACAGCUUUGCCCUCUCAGGCCUGUGGUGGUGUGGCAGUGACCUCCCUCAGGGCCAUCCCAGGAGUACUUCUCUGAGCAGACACUAUUGGCACCAUAAAUUUCAUAUUUGAUAGGGCUUUCCAGCAGAUGACUCCAAACUGGGUUGAUCUAAUAUGAUCACUACACCUGACAAUUUUCCGGCUGGUAGCUGUAAACUCUUAAGGAAAGAGCACUAUUUUUUUUUUUUUUUUUUUGUGGGGCACCUUUUAAAUAUAUAUUUAUUUAUUUGGCUGUGCUGGGUCUUAGUUGUGGCAGGCGGGCUCCUUAGUUGCGGUUCGCUGGCUUAUUAGUUACGGCACACCAGCUCCUUAGUUGCAGCAGGCGGCCUCCUUAGUUGUGGCAUGCAUGUGGGAUCUAGUUCCCCAACCAGGGAUUGAACCCCGGCCCCCUGCAUUGGGAGCGUGGAGUCUUAACCACGGCACCACCAGGGAAGUCCUGGGACACCCUUUUGUAAUUUGCACAAAGGCCUUGUGCGUACCGUGGGGCCGUGGCUCAUACAUGUCAGGUGCUUGGCUGAGGGCCUCGCCGGGGUGUCCACAGGGAAGGACAGCUCACAUCGUUGGCUUCCGAGUGGUGAGCCUUUUAGGGUCUCGCACCCCAAUAGUGAAACAUGUUUGCACCUCUACCUUUGUUUCAUAAAUACGUAUUCAAAUUACAUGAUGUACUAUAGCCCUGAUACCAUGCCUGCUCUAAUUCAUACCUCAGAACCCAAAAUUAUAAAAUAGAGAGAGAACACAUGGAUAGAAAUAGGUGUUCUAUUAUUUUCUUCCUGCGCCUGGCAAUCGGGAGCCUGCAGCCUCAGAAGUUGCCACCAGGGGGAGGAUGAAAUCUUUGCAGGUCCGGAAUUCACAAGUGGGAGAGUCAGUUUUUUCCAUGAGACGUGACUCAGACUUGAUACGAACAGCUCACCUGAAGCCAAGUGCCUUCAUGAAAUCCUCACCAUAGCCCUGCUGGCAAACCUGUUUGUAAGCUUCUGUCCCAAUGUUUACUGAGUGCCAACCCAGUGCCAGGCCCUGCAGGCAGUGAACGGAGGGAGCAGACAUCCCUGCCCUCCUGGAACUGACACUGUAGUGUGGGGAGAGACAACGGACGAGAUGGCCACUUUUUGAGUCACUGACCCAGUUUUCUGGAACACAUUGUCUUCACGUCUUUCUGAAUUGUGACGAUGCAGCACUUUCGAAGCCACGCGCGAUGCUAUUUUUAUCUCAAGACACAAGUAUCCAUUCAAACAUGAGAACAGUUGUCGCCUUCGUUCAAGUCACUGUGAUCUCCUCAGCAAACCAGCUUAUCGCUCUUUUAAAUCUAUAUCUAUGGCAUUUACAUCAUACAUAGGGUUUGUACUUGGCUUUCUUUCAUUUAAGCCCUGUCUGGAGGAUCCUUCCAUAUCUGCACCCACAUAGCAGUUUCAUGCUUUUUUUAAAAAAAAUUAUUUAUUUAUUUUAUUUUUGGCUGCGUUGGUCUUCGUUGCUGCAGGUGGGCUUUCUCUAGUUGGGGCGAGCGGGGGCUACUCUUCGUUGCGGUGCGCAGGCUUCUCAUUGUGGUGUCUUUUCUUGUUGCGGAGCACGGGCUCUAGGCGCACGGGCUUCAGUAAUUGUGGCACGCGGGCUCAGUAGUUGUGGCUCGCAGGCUCUAGCGCGCAGGCCCAGUAGUUGUGGCACAUGGGCUUAGUUGCUCUGUGGCAUAUGGGAUCUUCCCAGACUAGGGCUUGAACCCGUGUCCCCUGCAUUGGCAGGCGGAUUCUUAACCACUGUGCCACCAGGGAAGUCCCAGCUUCAUGCUUUUUAAAAGCAUGUCAGAGACGUGAUGUCUUGAAACCAGAAGUGAGCCAAGGUUUAAAAUUCAAGAGAUUGCAGAUGAAAACCCAGACAUCAGGCUCCUCUUGAAAAUCGGGAAGAGCUGGCUGUACCCUGGGUGGCUUUCUGUGGGGGAGAGUGGUUGGCUGGAGCUGAGUGGCCGCUGCCCACCUUGCCCAGGGCCCGCCUCCUCACCAUGACCUCUUUCCUGCCUGAUGCUGAGGCCAGACGUCAGUUGCUGUGUGUUGCCAUGCAUUCAUUGCUGCUUGGCCUUUAUAGCGAACCUCUUGGGCCAUAUUCCCUAGCCCCAGCUUCCCUCCCGGGGGCCACGGCUGCUGCCUACUUCUUGGGUCUCCUUUGAAGAUAUUCCAUACUUAGGCAAGCAAAUACACAAAUUCAUAUAUUGAUUUUUUCACAUCCUGUACACACUGCCUUUGUGCUUUGGGCCUUCUAACAUCUUGGAGAGAUCCCUUCUUACCAGUACAUACGGGUUGACCGCAUUCAUUUUUGUUUGUUUGUGGUUUCUCCAUCAAAAGUGGCAUCAAGGGAAUUCCCUGGUGGUCCAGUGGUUAGGACUCUGUGCUUUCACUGCUGAGAGCGUGGGUUCGAUCCCUGGCCAGGGAACUAAGGUCCCGCAAGCCGCACAGCGUGGCAAAAAAAAAAAAAAAAAAAAAAUGACAUCAAAGGGUAACAUGGAGGCAUGUAGGUAGACCUUUGACGUGCCAUUUAGUUAUAUGCAUGCACACUGCUUACUUACGUGUCCGGGAGUUGGUAGACUAAGUCAAGAAACAAAGGCAAAACUAGCAUUUCUAGUAAAGGGGGGAGAGGGAAAGCCACAGAGAGUCUGGGAACAGUGACUCUUGUCUGCAUGUGUUGGGGAUAAACUGAUGGCUGGCUGGGAGCAGAGAGGGCAGUUGGGGCUGCCUGCCCUUGCAAGGGAACCCUCUCAGUUGUUCACGGAGCCUCCGGGAAACCUCGUCGGGUCAGCUGUGGGCUGCAUAUGCCCGGCCAUCUCUGUAACGUCUGCCAGUGUCCUCCAGCAGCACCUGCCUCAGCAGCAUUCCUCGUGGGCAAACAAAAGCUGCUCCGGAGGGGCUGGAGAAAGCGCAAGUGUCUAUGUGAAAGAGAAGAAUAUUCUUGCCUGUUGAAUAAGGAAAGUAUCUCUGUCUGAAAAGACUACAAGUUAAUAUACUAUCAAUGCAGCAGAUCAUAGUAAGGUUAAGUAGGAAAACAGUGUGAUGAAAACCCAGAAAACCCUCCUGAUUCAUUGAUUUAUGUUAAUGCCUGGCCAGGGCUGCCACAGACAGCUGUGCAGGUUGGGUACUGCACAAGGAUGCCAUAUCUGAGAGGACUGCGUUUACAGUGGAGACACUGGAGCGUUGUACGUUUAUUUCACCAAAUUUCUGGCAGGUGCCACUAGAGUGUCUGGUUCUAACAAAACACAUUUGCAGCAAAACGGAAGCAAAGUGGCCCAAAUUUGCCAGGGCUGGUUUGUGGCAGUGGGUCUGGGCUCAUAGAGAUUUGAGUUUGGGCCCCUGCCUUUAAGUGUCCAUGACUUACCUUUUCAGAGGCACCAUCAGGAUGAACAGAAGAGUUUUAGACACACCCUGCCCCUUGCUUCUCCCUCCCUUCCUUCUUCCCUGUCCCACUUGCUUUCCUCAGCCGCAACUCCUGGCUAUGCCUUCUGCCCCUUGGGGGGUGUGGUUCGCUCCUGACCCUCUCUCCUCCAUCUCU